rnacentral:snoRNA from 1 species
UGCAAUGAUGAGGUUAUUGAGUAAUCUCGUUAAUCUGAUUGAUUUAUGAGGAAAAUUACUCUAUCCAUUCUUGAUCCACUGAGC